CCCCGCCGAGGGGGACCCGUCCCGGGGCUGGUCCGGUAGCCCCCACGCCCCCAGCAGCUGCCUCGGUUUCCACAAGCGCCGCCCCGCGCUCCGGGUAUCGCUCCGGGGGGGAACCGGCUCUGCAGACGGGCGGGGGCAAAGCGACGCCGUGGGUUUGCCGCGGGUGGUUCCGCGCUGCCAGGGUGGGUGUCUGGCGUGGGUGCUCCCGCGGUGCUGGGGUUGGCAGGGAACAGACCCACGGUCACGCCUGGAGAGGGGAGGCAGAGCGCCCGGCAGCCACCCCCACCCCAGUUCCUGCACAUCAUUCCCAGCAAGGCACGGAUGGGCGCUGGCAGGUGCCCCUGGAGCCCCCACGUUGGACUGAACAGCGUUUUGAUAUCAUUUCUGCAUCUCUCCAAGCACGAGAGGAGUGAAGCGGGGGCCUGGAGAAAUCGAGGCACGGCGAGGCCUGAGGACAGUGGGCAGCCAGCUGGGGACACUUCCAGGAGGGAGGAUGGAGAGGGAUGGUGUCCUACCCAUUACUGGUGGCUCGCCAUCAGGUAUCCGUGGGGGGUUGGAGGUUGCCAUGGGCAUGAAGUCCCGUGGAGGGAGGUGGGCUGUGCUGUGAACCCCACCUUGGGGCACAGAGCUCUGGGGACAGAGCCCAGGGGACUGGCCUGGAGGGUGCCAGCAAGGCUGGGGGCUGCUUUGUGUUCACGGCAGCUGGCAAAAAUCAUUGACAACAGUUUUUGCUGGCAACAGGACUGAGCUCACCCUCCCGAGGGACUGCUGGGCUCCAAGGGGUCUGGCCCAGCCCAACAAGGAUUUUUUUUUUUUUUUUUUGCCAACCAAUUCCCCAUGAAUGUAGCUCUGCCCUAACCUUGAGCUAGCACCUCAGGGAGGCAUCAUUCCUCACACUUAGGGCAGUUUAAUUAGCAGUGAGCCCUCUGUCCCUGCUUAAACCUUCUGGAACUGGCCAAGAAAUUGCAGGGAGGGCACAGGAUGACCAGCUGGGCAGAUUAACAUGGUUGAGUCUUGUUUUCCCAGAGCAGACCUAUAAGGAGAGCCAAGAUGCUGUGACUUGGAGCGUUGCGCUUUCCAGAAAGACUUCCCUGGCUGCUGUGGGCACAAAGGGAUGCUCAGAGGGGCAAAUCCUGCUCCCAGCCCUGAUGCUUUUGGCUUGGGAUCUGCAGCAUUCACAGCUGAUUCUGGGUGAGAUUCGUUCUCAGCCGCUUCCUCGGCUGCUGCCAUGACACAGUCCAGCGUUUGUAAACAGCCCCGAGGUUCCUCAGCAAGGUGUCAUGGGAGGAAAUAGCUGGAUGCUGGGCAGUGCAGCGUCCUGACCUGCCCCUCACCCUUCUCAGUGACUAACCCGCUCCCAAUUUCCGCUCAGGAAGGCGUGAGUCGUGUUGGGAGGAUGUGAGAGCAGCUGUCCUAUUGCUCCUGGCAGGUGCCGCGGGACCAUGAGGCUGCUUUGGGCUCUGUCUUCACCAUGUUACAUCCGUCCAAGGCCCUGUGCCGCAGGGAUCCCCCUUUGUCCUGCCAGCCUGUGCUUUAAAUAGGAGUGGAAUGCCCGUCCAGGCUCUGCUGGCCAUGCUCGUGCUGUGGCUGAAAGGGGCUGAGAAUGGCUUCAGCACAAGGUGUCGAGGCCAGCAAUGGGUGCAGGAAGGGUUGGCAUCCCAUGGCAGGGAUGCCAAGGGCUGGGUAAUGAUGGGGCUGCAGCCAGAUUUGUCUCAGAUGGGGAAUGGGACUGGCACAGGCUCAGCCUCUGUGAUGGCAGGAGAGACACAGAUAGGGCUUUUCCCUCCUAGUUCUGGUCUGUGGGGACUUCCCAGAAGUCUGACCUGAUGCUGUGCCACCCUUGGAUGCCGUGGCCAGCGCAGUGGCCACCACCAGCCCCAGGUGGGUCCCUUUGCUCCCCCACAGCCACAGGCUGAUUCAGCCCGGUCCCACACAGACACCACUUGUUUGCCUCCAGACGUGAUGUCUGACACGGAAGUGGGAUCACUUCCUUCUCCAUGCUGAUAACCACGCAUUUGGGGCUAUCUUAAUUAUGAGAGCCUUAACAAGGCCCCUCGACCCCACCAGCAGCCCGAAGGGUGCUCAGCAGCUUCUGGGCUGUGGGCAGGCGACUGCCGGUCGGGUUUGUCCUGAUCGGCUCCAUUCCCGCCCGCGCGGCGCUGCUCAGGCCGUGUGUGUGGGAGGGAAGUGCCGGGAUGCGACGUGGGGAUGUGGCACGGAGCUGGCGUGAUGGGGUGACAGCCCGUGGAGAAUCCCCCCGCCUCCUUCCUCAUUGCAAAGGGGACUCGCCCGUGGAGCAGAGCGUCCAGCCCGUCCGUGACCACCAGUCUCCCUUCAAGAGCAAACAUCCCUCCAGCUCCUGUCCUGGGAGGCCCCCUGGGGUAUUCCCAGACUCCGCAGACAUCAUUUGGUGGAGAAGGCUUGUAGAUUUGAAGCACCGUGCCCUGGUUUUGCUGGACAAGGUGGUGCGUGCCCUGAGUUUGGGGAAGCUGAGGCAGAAACAGCAGACAAGGUUUGGUUUGAGUUGUGCAAGAAGCCAAGGGUUAAAUAUGGCAAUAACCUCCCUCAGCUCCCUCCAGCCCCGGGCUCCUCCUGCUCCUGCCCCCAGCUGCUGGAGGAGCUGAUCGCCACUGGGAGUUAUCCCGGGGGAAGAAAGCACAGAGCCUGGGGGCUUCCCAGGCCUUCCAUAACCCUUCGUGCCCCCGGGGGCUGCAGCAGAGACCUGGGUCUGUCGCUGCCAGGGCAGGCCCGGAUUUCGGGGUCGCACUGCCACAUCACAGCCCCAGAGGAGACGUGUAGAGGACGUGGCUCUGUUGCAACAUGAACUGCGGCGUUUCCCUCCGAGGCACACAGCUCCUCCACAUCCCUGCCCGCUCUGCCGCGUCCGCCGGCAGCCACCGGGGGACGGGAACGGGACGGGGACGAACUCCUCCCGGAUCCAUCGCUUUUAGCAUCGUUCCCACUGCUGAAGGUACAUGUCUCAAGGUGGAGCCAGAAAUAGCACGGCUGGCGCUGCAUCGGGGCUGGCAGGGCUGCAGGCUUGGCAGGGGGACAGGCACCGACUGCAGCAGCGGAACUUUCCAGGAAGCUCCUGUGGGAGCGGCCGGUGCGGAGAUGGAGCCGUCUCCUUGCAGACCCAGGCCCGGGGCUGGAGAUCAGCCUCUCUCAGCCGUGGGGCUGGGGCUGACACAGGGGAGCAGCACAAAGCAGGAGGGGGCACAGCUAACACAGGUAUCUUCUGGAGGAGAGUGACUGGGAUCACAUCCCACCUGAGCUAGGACACAGAUCUGGGCUCUGCCACUGAUUUGCUGCAGAGCUCGGGAAAGUGGCUGCACCUUCUACCUGCCUCCAUGACCCAGGGGUGACAGGUUUUCCCCAAAAUCCAGCUUCUCUCAGGGCCCAGAGAGGAUUCUCAGCCUCCAAGGAGCUCAGGUUUUUGUGGCAGCUCCUAAAUCACAGCCAGGCUCUGCAACUUGUUGGGGGCUGCUCCCCAGUGCUGACCCUCCACUGAGCUCGGCAGCUGCCGGCACAGCCCGGGACGCACCGGGAAGCCCUGAACAAUACCGACGAGCUGAGCUCAUUCCUCCCAGCUGAUAAUUUGCUCAAAAAUAUUUCUGAGCUCAGGCCUCCUCAGGGAAAACACUCUCAAACGCCAGGCAAAAAGCUGCUGAGUCUGAAGAAACCACACACACACACCACUCGCUCGUCGAGACGUCCCCCCGAUGACAAGCCCUGGCGUCAGAGGGGCUGAGGCCAAAGUCUGCCGUUUGAUCUCCCCCUUCGCUGGGGGAAGCCGAAUUUCAGGCCGUCCAGGGGUUUUACCACUUCCCGGUAGCGGUUUCCUGCCAUGAUGUGAGCGCAGGAAUUUUUGGGAGGUGAGUCAGAGGCUGCAAUGAGAACCACCUGGCUGGGGCUGGGCUGGGAGGCUCGAUCCCGAUCCAGGGGUGAUCCCUGCUGCGAUGCUCGAUGCCUGCGGGCAGCAUUCCCAGAGUGGAAUUACUUACGGGGGUUACAACAUCCCAUCACAGACCCCAUUUCUGGCCUGGGAAAGAAGAAGAGGGAUUUGCUGCCUCAAUUCCCACGGCUCCUCCUUCCUUGCCGGGCUGGGAUCGGCACGCUCCGGCCACCCCACCCGGGCUCCAGGGAGAAACUUGGGUAAGAAAAAAGAGCAAAACCUCGUCCAGCUCUGCAGGAAGCCGCCUGGAAUGGCUGUCCCGCCCCAGCACCGUGUUGUCCCGAGCACAGAACUGCCCCAAAGCAGCGCCGAGGCUUGGCUUUCCCUGGGGAGCAAUGCAGGACUUGGCGGAGCUGCGAAACUGCCCUCCCUGGUCGCUGAAAUGAAACAUAUAAAAUGAGUUCCUGCUAAAGGAACCUCCCAGGUUUUGCCUGCUGGGCUAUUAAAGUUCCAUGACCCCGUGCCCACCCUCUCCCCAGCAUUACUCAAACCCCUCGGCGCAGAGAAUAAGUGAAUCCAGUCCAGAGAGUGAGACUGAGCCGGGAUAAGCCUUUGGAAAGGAGCUAAACCUGCUCAAAGCCGGCACUGUUCCCUGACCCGCCCUCCUAAUCCUGCCUGGCUGAUAAUGGAAUAAUAAAGGGCUGCACGGCCUCGCUCUCUGCUGCUCUGUGGGGGAGGUUCCUGCUGCCCCUGUACAUGCCAGGAGCUGGGAUAUUAAUGACACCCUAAGUAAACAGAAUUGCUCCUUUCUUCUCCUUUGCCUGGCUGUAAAACCGAGCGUGACCUUCAGCCCGCAGAGAAAUCAGAGUCGCUCCCCUUGCCAGGAGAAAGGCUGGUUGUGGCAGUGAUAACACGGUGAUCUCUGCCCGCCACCCUUCCCGGGCCUGAUCCCAACCCUGCAGCUCCAACAGCGAUCCCGGUGGGACUCGUAGGGCCACCCCUGCGAGGCUUUGGCCUCUCCCCGCAGGAAUGAAGCCGGUGAUUCACUGAGGGGGAAUCUCAGGAACACAGAAUGUGUGAUUUUGGGACACCCAGCCCCUCCGAGGUGUGCACACCUUGUCUGCUGUGUCAGGGGCCGCCCUGUAGCCGAACCUACAAACUUGUUGCACCUGAGCCUCAGCAGCUGGGGAAAGGGCAGGGAAGUGACAAUGCCGACGAGAUCCAUUCCCUGUGGCCGGGAUGGAUCUGAGCACACACGGGACAGCAGGAAUGGUGACAGGAGGAGGGUGCUGGGGGACCCGGAGAGCAAAGCAGAGGCUGAGGGCACUCAGAGGCCACAGCAUCAUCCCUGGGAUGCUGUGCUGAGGCUGCUGAGCGAGGAGCCAGCUGGAAAGGGGAUAAACAGCUCUUCCUUCUCCACAUGCCUGGUUCCAGGCAGGGAAGGGCUUUAUAAAGGAGGGCAGCAGCAGGUCUUUGGUGAGGAGAGGCUGAGGGAGGCUGAGUGCUCUGCAGAGGGAUAUGCCAUGGCUCCUGCAGUGCCAGGAUUCCCUCCCCACCCUUUGGGCAUGUCCCCCCUGCUGGGUGUCCCUGCAGCAAGAUGUCCCUGGCUCCCCUGGGAACUGCCAUUUCUCUGGUGGGUGCAGGAGGAACAUCAGGAAGCAGCCAGCUUCCUACGUCACAAAAACAGUCUGGCUCCCCCCAAAUUUUUUGAAGGACAAAGGCAGCACCCCGUGAGGAGUGACUGGCUAUACCGUGGGUGCUGUGACUGUUCUCAGCCUGGUGUCAGGGUGCCCAGGAGGGGGUCAGGGUGCCCAGGAGGGGUGUCUGGGCUCUCUGGCAGACGGAUGCUGCGGAUUCAUCCCAGGAUGAUGCCAGCCUGGAGGUCUGAUCAGAAUCCCAUGCCUGGCUGUGCUGCCUCCUCCUAGUGAACUCGAGCAGCUGAUGCUGUCAGCUCUUGCCUCGCCUUGGGGGAACGAGCCAGGAUGUGGGAGUCAAGCUGGAAUAGUCCCUAGAGCUGAACUGGAAUAGCCCCUGCUCUGACAAGGCAUGGAUUUAGGACCUGCAGGAGGCACAGCAGGAGGAUGUGGGGCUGGAACUGCAGGGAAAGGGUGUUGAAGACAGACAACCUUUAAUGAAGUGUCAGCGCAAGGGGACUGAUGGCAGCGCUGCAGCUCCCAGCUGAGCACGAAAUGUCUGCGACAGGGAGUCACUGCUGGAGGCACCGUGGCCAUCACGUGCCAGAGCAGCUGGAAAGCCACUGGGUCACAAAGGGAAACCUCCUUCAUGUCCUGAACGAAGCCCACCAGGCCUCUUCCUCCCUCACUCCCAGCUGGGAGGACACAGGCCAAGGGACUAUGGUAUUGCACAGCGACUUAGAGAAGUGCCAGGAAAAACCUCUCCCUCCAGGGUGAACCAAGUGAUGUGGGGCAAUGCUGGUGAUUAAAUUAAUGCAGUUUGCCUUCCCUGUGAUACAUAAUUUCUGUCAUAUAUCAUCAUUUCUGCUGCACUGUGGGGUGCUCUGAGCCAUCCUGACCACAGAGGAUGGAUCCCAACAGUGUUGUCAGCUCCCCUCAUUUUCCCAGCUGCCAAGGCCAAGAUGUAUAUCGUGUAUAUAUAUAAAAAAAAUUAUAACAAAAUGUACAUACGUUCAGUCAAGUUUCGCCUCCUCCUUAUAUAUAUAUAUAUAUAUAUAUACAUUCUAUGCAUAUAACAUAUAUAGCAUAUAAUAUACAUUUUAUGUAUAAUUACUAUGCACUUUCAUAAAAACUGCAUUUUAUAUGUGA